rnacentral:rRNA from 1 species
AGUGAUCGCUGGCGGUAGGCCUAACACAUGCAAGUCGAACGGCAGCACAGUAAGAGCUUGCUCUUACGGGUGGCGAGUGGCGGACGGGUGAGGAAUACAUCGGAAUCUACUUUUUCGUGGGGGAUAACGUAGGGAAACUUACGCUAAUACCGCAUACGACCUACGGGUGAAAGCAGGGGAUCUUCGGACCUUGCGCGAUUGAAUGAGCCGAUGUCGGAUUAGCUAGUUGGCGGGGUAAAGGCCCACCAAGGCGACGAUCCGUAGCUGGUCUGAGAGGAUGAUCAGCCACACUGGAACUGAGACACGGUCCAGACUCCUACGGGAGGCAGCAGUGGGGAAUAUUGGACAAUGGGCGCAAGCCUGAUCCAGCCAUACCGCGUGGGUGAAGAAGGCCUUCGGGUUGUAAAGCCCUUUUGUUGGGAAAGAAAAGCAGCAGGUUAAUACCCCGCUGUUCUGACGGUACCCUAAGAAUAAGCACCGGCUAACUUCGUG